UGAUGGUGAUGGUGAUGAUCAUGAUCACGAUGGUGAUGAUCACGAUCAUGAUGGUGAUGGUGAUGAUCAUGAUCACGAUGGUGAUGAUCAUGGUUC
rnacentral:pre_miRNA from 1 species